rnacentral:antisense_RNA from 1 species
CACCGUCUGAGGCCACUUCGAGCCUACUGGAUCCCUGGUUCCGACCCAGUAGGAUCACAGAAGCAGGGCCAGCUGCCAGGCUUCUGCAAAAGACUUGAGACAGCUCACAAUGAAGUACUCUGUAUUAGGCAGGGUAAUAUUGAUUGCAAGUGACAGAAACCCAAUCAGAAACUCACUGGAGUCAUGAGGAACACUUAUUGGCUCAGAGUAAAGGCAUGGACCUUCAGAGAAAUAAAGUCUGGGAAAUUGACUAGAUCCUCACUGAAAGAACUACUAAAGGAUGUACUUAUGGAAGAAGAAAAUUACAAAGUGAAAGAACUGGGAUGCAAGAAGUAAUGUUCCCAACAUGAUGUGAACAACAUCUGUGCUGGUUGAAUGAAUGAGUGGUGUUGAAAGCAUCUACAUCAGGGGUGUCCAAUCUUUCAGCUUCCCUGGGCUACACUGGAAGAAGAAUAAUUUUCUUGCACCACAUAUAAAAUACACUAACACUACUGAUAGCUGAUGAGCUAAAAAAAAUCACAAAAAAAUCUCAUGUUUUAAGAAAGUUUAUGAAUUUGUGUUGGGCCACAUCCAAAGCCAUCCUGGGCUGCAUGCAGCCUGAGGCCAUGGGUUGGACAAGCUUGACUACAGCUUUAAAGUGAUCUUAAUCUAAUCAAUUCUUCCCCAUUCAGAAGAAACCUACUACAUCAGAGUCUAUUGAGAAUCUAUCUCCCUAAUCACCCUCAGGCACAGGGUUAUUAUGUAUUGAUAUCAUACACACUAAAAAAUUCCAUCAUACAGGUCUAGAAAUACUUCCAUAAUACAGUAAUAUUUUAAUAGAGUCAUAACACACAGACAGCCACCCAUUCUGCCUGUAGCCAGUCAUGGAGCAAUACAUUUUGUACAUAACCUGUAAUUUCUUCUGGAGAGUGUAAUUACAAUGCCAAUAUGACAUUUUAUUUUUAUUAUUAUUAUUUAGUUAGUUAGUCAGUUAUUUUUUGAGACAGAGUCUCACUCUGUCACCAGGCUGGAGUGCAGUGGUGCGAUCUCGGCUCACUGCAACCUCUGCCUCCCAGGUUCAAGUGAUUCUUCUGCCUUAGCCUCCCGAGUAGCUGGGACUAUGGGUGCCCACCACCACACCUGGCUAAUUUUUGUAUUUUUAGUAGAGACGGGGUUUCACCAUGUUAGCCAGGAUGGUCUAGGGGUUGAUAAACUACAGUGCACAGGCCAAAUCUGGUUUACUGCCUGAUUUUGUAAAUAAAGUUUUAUUGGAACACA